AUUCAUAUAAAAGCCAAGCUUUUGAUUUUGGAAAAUUACAGUUAAUCAAAUUCUCUACUUUGAUAGACAAGCUAAAACAAUCCUUAAAACAAAAUGAAAUACUUCGCAAUUUUCGUAGCCCUCGUCAUGGCUUUUGCUUCUUUCAACACUUGCUCAGCAGUGUCUGAACCAGUUUGUUCCGUCACAUUACCCAAUGGAGAACUAUUGUUCAUUAAGGGAAACCAAGCAAAAACUUAUACAAAUGCCGAAGGUAAAUGCUUGGUUGCCAUCUGUGGACCAGAUUUCAAAGCCAUUUCUAUCCCAUGUCAAUGAUGGAAAUGCUAGUUUUCCUGAUGAAAUUUUGCAGAUUAAGUAGAAAAUUAUAUUUGAAAAAAAAACUUUACAAUUUGUAUGAAUAAAAUUUCUUCUAAUUAUUGCUGAUUGCAAAAGUAUA